UACGUAGGGUGCGAGCGUUAAUCGGAAUUACUGGGCGUAAAGCGUGCGCAGGCGGUUCGUUAAGUCAGAUGUGAAAGCCCCGGGCUCAACCUGGGAACUGCAUUUGAAACUGGCGGGCUUGAGUGCGGCAGAGGGGGGUGGAAUUCCGCGUGUAGCAGUGAAAUGCGUAGAGAUGCGGAGGAACACCGAUGGCGAAGGCAGCCCCCCUGGGCCGACACUGACGCUCAGGCACGAAAGCGUGGGGAGCAAACAGG
rnacentral:rRNA from 1 species